UACGAGGGGGGCGAGCGUUGUUCGGAAUUAUUGGGCGUAAAGGGUGCGUAGGCGGCCUGACAAGUCUGAUGUGAAAUCCCUGGGCUCAACCCAGGGCCUGCAUCGGAAACUGUCGGGCUUGAGUAUGGGAGAGGUGAGUGGAAUUUCCGGUGUAGCGGUGAAAUUCGUAGAUAUUGGGAAGAACACCAGUGGCGAAGGCGACUAACUGGACAAGUACUGACGCCGAGGUACGAAAGCGUGGGGAGCAAACAGG
rnacentral:rRNA from 1 species